CUCAUACUAGCUACCUAAGAUUAUACAGUAUUAAUUUGCCACCAUGCGAGUGUGUGCAACUUUCAGUUUGUUUGCGUAGCGUAUCAAGGCUUGUACCACUGCAGCAAUUAACCAAGGAAAGAAAGGAAAUUGGAUCUGAAGAAUGCUGCAGACCAAUCUAUGGGCUAGAGAUUCAAAACGGAACUGCUGACAUUCAAAGGAUUGGUUCGUCAUGCCGGAGAAGAUAGAGAUCCAAGCAAAAAAACAUCGAUGCUGCAGCAGGAGAGACAAUUGGCAUUUUAGAGGAUACAAGCAAAGGAAAUGUGAUCUUCGUCCGUGGUUGGGAUGGAGUUGGGGCAUCAGCGGCAUUCAAGGCAGUAGCGCAACGCCUGAAAUCCUCAAAAUCAAAGUUUGACAGGGUUAUUCAUGUGGAUUGCUCGUUGUGGAAAAGCAUGAGGUCCCUGCAGAAGGCAAUCGCGGAGGAAGUGGAGCUUCCGCCAUCGGUGAUGGCCAUCUUAGAUCAGUGGGACGAGGAGGAUGAUUUCAGUGGGAUAGUCGAAGGCUAUCGAGGGGUGAUACCAGAUAUCAGAACAGAAAUCUUCAGAAAGCUUGCUAGCAGUAUAUUUGUGGUGAUAUUUCACAAUGGAAGUGACAAAUACAUUGAUCUCUAUGAGUGUGGUGUCCCAGCAAUAUCAUUUUUGAGUAUUAUAAGGUGUUGUGGACCUGGCACGGGAGGUUUCAAUCCAAAUACAUAAAUUUCAAGGAACGGGAAAGGAUGGAGCUGCAUACUG